GAUGAACGCUGGCGGCGUGCCUACUACAUGCACGUCGAACGAGUGGCGGACGGGUGAGUAAUGUCUGGGAAACUGCAAGAUGGAGGGGGAUAACUACUGGAAACGGUAGCUAAUACCGCAUACCAUCGGAUGUGCCAAGAUGGGAUUAGCUAGUAGGUGGGGUAACGGCUCACCGAGGCGAAGAUCCCUAGCUGGUAUGAGAGGAGUAAUAGACACACUGGAACGUAGACCAGGUCCAGACUCCUACGGUAGGGAGCAGUGGGGAAGAUUGCACAAUGGGCGCAAGCCGGAUGCCGCCAUGCCGAGUGUAUGAAGAAGGCCUGCGGGUUGUAAAAUACUUUCAGCGAGGAGGCGUUACUCGCAGAAGAAGCACGGGCUAACUCCGUGCCAGCAGCCGCGGUAAUAC
rnacentral:rRNA from 1 species